GACAAGAUUCCGGGCCCUACGGGGCGCAGCAGGCGCGAAACCUUUACACUGUACGCAGGUGCGAUAAGGGGACUCCCGAGUGUGAAGGCAUAGAGCCUUCACUUUUGUACACCGUAAAGGUGGUGUACGAAUAAGGGCUGGCAAGACCGGUGCCAGCCGCCGCGGUAAUACCGGCAGCCCGAGUGAUGGCCGAUAUUANUGGGCNUAAAGCGUCCGUAGCUGGCCGGACAAGUCCGUUGGGAAAUCUGUUCGCUUAACGAGCAGGCGUCCAGCGGAAACUGUUCGGCUUGGGACCGGAAGACCUGAGGGGUACGUCCGGGGUAGGAGUGAAAUCCUGUAAUCCUGGACGGACCACCGGUGGCGAAAGCGCCUCAGGAGGACGGAUCCGACAGUGAGGGACGAAAGCUAGGGUCUCGAACCGGAUUAGAUACCCGGGUAGUCCUAGCUGUAAACGAUGCCCGCUAGGUGUGGCGCAGGCUACGAGCCUGCGCUGUGCCGUAGGGAAGCCGAGAAGCGGGCCGCCUGGGAAGUACGUCUGCAAGGAUGAAACUUAAAGGAAUUGGCGGGGGAGCACUACAACCGGAGGAGCCCGCGGUUUAAUUGGACUCAACGCCGGACAUCUCACCAGCUCCGACAGUAGUAAUGACGGUCAGGUUGAUGACCUUACCCGAUGCUACUGAGAGGAGGUGCAUGGCCGCCGUCAGCUCGUACCGUGAGGCGUCCUGUUAAGUCAGGCAACGAGCGAGACCCGCACUCCUAAUUGCCAGCAGUACCCUUUGGGUAGCUGGGUACAUUAGGUGGACUGCCGCUGCUAAAGCGGAGGAAGGAACGGGCAACGGUAGGUCAGUAUGCCCCGAAUGAGCUGGGCAACACGCGGGCUACAAUGGUCGAGACAAUGGGAUGCAACUCCGAGAGGAGGCGCUAAUCUCCUAAACUCGAUCGUAGUUCGGAUUGAGGGCUGAAACUCGCCCUCAUGAAGCUGGAUUCGGUAGUAAUCGCG
rnacentral:rRNA from 1 species